UGAAUACGAGACGCUAAGGCGUCGAAGUAGUGUAUGUCAUACUUCCAAGAAAAGCUUGCACUGUCAUAAGUAAAAAAUGCCUGUACCAUAACCGACACAGGUGGGUAGGUAGAGUAUACUAAGGGGCGCGAGAUAACUCUCUCUAAGGAACUCGGCAAAAUAACUCCGUAACUUCGGGAGAAGGAGUACCUUAUUCUAUAAGGUUGCAAUAACAAGAUCCAAGCAACUGUUUAACAAAAACACAGGUCUCCGCUAAGUCGUAAGACGAUGUAUGGGGGCUGACGCCUGCCCAGUGCCAGAAGGUUAAAGAAGUCGGUUAGCAUUAGCGAAGCUGGUAACUGAAGCCCUGGUGAACGGCGGCCGUAACAAUAACGGUCCUAAGGUAGCGAAAUUCCUUGUCGGGUAAGUCCCGACCCGCACGAAAGGCGUAAUGAUCUGGAUACUGUCUCGGAGAGGGGCUCGGUGAAAUAGACUUGUCUGUGAAGAUGCGGACUACCUGCACCAGGACAGAAAGACCCUAUGAAGCUUUACUGUAACUUGAAAUUGAAAUUGGACUUUAUUCGCGUAGUAUAGGUGGGAGGUGUUGAUUAUAAUCUUGCGGGAUUAUUGGAGCCAUCAGUGAGAUACCACUCUUGUAAUGUUAGAUUUCUAACUUUGAAUCAUUAUCUGGUCAAAGGACAGUUUCAGGCGGGCAGUUUGACUGGGGUGGUCGCCUCCCAAACGGUAACGGAGGCGUACAAAGGUUUUCUCUGAACGGGUAGAAAUCGUAUCUAGAGUGUAGAGGCAUGAGGAAGCUUGACUGUGAGACCUACAAGUCGAACAGGGACGAAAGUCGGUCUUAGUGAUCUGACGGUACUGAGUGGAAAGGCCGUCACUCAACGGAUAAAAGUUACUCUAAGGAUAACAGGCUGAUCUCCCCCAAGAGUUCACAUCGACGGGGAGGUUCGGCACCUCGAUGUCGGCUCAUCGCAUCCUGGGGCGGUAGUACGUCCCAAGGGUUGGGCUGUUCGCCCAUGAAAGCGGUACGCGAGCUGGGUUCAGAACGUCGUGAGACAGUUCGGUCCAUAUCCGGUGUAGGCGUUAGAAUAUUGAGAGGAGCCUUCUUUAGUACGAGAGGACCGAGAAGGACAUACCUCUGGUGUACCAGUUAUCGUGCCAACGGUAAACGCUGGGUAGCUAUGUAUGGAGUGGAUAACCGCUGAAAGCAUCUAAGUGGGAAGCCCACCUCAAGAUAAGUAUUCUU
rnacentral:rRNA from 1 species